CAGGUAGGGAUACCCGCAAACU
rnacentral:rRNA from 1 species